rnacentral:rRNA from 1 species
UACGUAGGAGACGAACGUUAUCCGGAUUUACUGGGCGUAAAGAGGGUGCAGGCGGUACUCCAAGUCGGGUGUGAAAUCUCCCAAUUUAAUUGGGAGGGGUCAUCCGAUACUGGGGGACUUGAGGGCAGCAGAGGGAGGUGGAAUUCCCGGUGUAGUGGUGAAAUGCGUAGAUAUCGGGAGGAACACCAGUGGCGAAGGCGACUUCCUGGGCUGUUCCUGACGCUGAGGCCCGAAAGCGUGGGGAG